AGCUGGGGGAUCAAGCUGGUGAGGCAAGAGCGCUAACCACUGCGCCACCGUGCAGCCCUGUACAUUGUCACUGGGACUAAAUGUGAUUCCAGGAAAACAUGCAGCAAAUUAGGAGAUGGUGGUGUCUUCACCUAAUAACGAACUUUCCAAUGCCGUCUGAAGAAGCAAGAAUGCAGCCAGAAAAAGGAGGAGCAGAAACUCCAGGAUGAAGAAGAUGCUUCACUGAAAAAGAUGCAUUCUGAAUCCAUCUCAGAAGGGGAAGGUGACAUGAAGACCAGCAGUGGGACAGGAAGGAAUGAAGAAGAUGCUUUACUACACAGCACCAUUGAGGCAGCCACAUGGUGCAAUUGUGCAGUCCUUUAAAGGAAGAUGUUCCCUGCCUGAUGUUCUGGGGGUGGAUGAAGGAGAACAGAAGGAGAUUCUUAAAGAGCUCCAAAACUGCUCCCUCAUGAGUGAAGAUGAGAGAUUGGUGGAACUGAGGGAGCUUUUCGUCUUUUCAUUUCAGUUUUUCAGUGACUGUGAAGCAUUUUGUACAGAAAUUAUGGACAAUCAAAACUUAAAGGUGUAUGUAUGUUUUGAGGAACAGUAAAUCGCAGUGUCUGCUGUUUUUGUUUUUUCCAUGUUUUUUUUGUCUAUAUUUGUAUAUGUAUGAUGCUCUAUGACUGUAGCAUUACAUUCAUUCAUCUUCUAUUCCGUUUAA